CUCUAAUGUAUCUGGAAGUAAAAUACAUUUUAAAGUCCUAAAAGCCAAGGAACAUUAUCCAAAAAGAUUUCAAACAAAUUCCUAUGAUAAGAUCUCUCAUCGCAUGCAAAGCCGUGGCUACCGUUAUUUCAACAUGAUUGGAAGAUGAAGAAACGAAAGCUUUAUAUCCGUUUUUUGUUCACGGAAAACUGCUACUCCACCUGAGAGAGAUGUGCUUGGGCAGCUCUGGAUUGUCGAGCAGUUGGACGAGCUUGAAAAAUUCAGCGAUGCUGUUGCGCUAGAGCUUACUAAAAAUGUAAGAAGAUUGUAUUGAGUAUUGCUUCUAUGGAAAAUAUUUGCCUAAUUAAGGCAUAGUUAACUAUAGUCUCCUUCGCAUCCGUUUUCGUGUCGGGGAGGGACACGAAAACGGAUGCGAAGGAGACAAAGUUAACUAUGAUCCAGGCAAAAGCUAAACCGACGAAGUAUCACAAGAAAGUAAGCAAACAACAACUGGACGAAUUCGACCUAGAUCACCAAACAGGCAACCAAAUAUCCAAACAACCAAGUCAC